UCUAGGGCGACGACGAGGAGUAGUAGGUCAUUCGUCGAAUCAAGAGAGCUGGUGGGUGGUGCAAACCAGUUUCGACGACGCCGAACUCGCCUCCGAGCCAGAGUCCAUGAAACACGAGUAGUGGAUUCCGCCUGGCCCCGUAAGGGCUGAAUGAAGGAUCUGGAUAAACAGUAUCCGGGUCGAAUCAGGGUGGUACCACGAAGCGCCUCAAAGCCUUCGUCCCUGGG
rfam:Nitrospira japonica isolate Genome sequencing of Nitrospira japonica strain NJ11 genome assembly, chromosome: I